CACGCAGCCGGCGCAGAAGACGUGGCCGCACGGAGUGGUCAGCGGGUCCUCCAGGACCUUGUGGCAGAGCGCACACUUCAGGGAAAGUUACAGAGCCUGCCCCUCCUGCUGAAACUUCACUUCUGACCAGAGGUUGUGUGAACCUCGGGGUUUAGCAGGCAGAGCUUUCCAGGGCCGGAGGAGGAGGAAGAAUCUGGGCGGUUUGCAGUCACCAGCCGUCCCCGUGGGAGAACCUGGCGAGCUGGCUCCGUCCAUCUACUUCACCUAACACCUUUCCUGAGUCUGCAAGGCCGAGCGGCAGGCGCUGUGCUGGGCGUUUCUCAUUUGGUACCUUUCACAAUCAUCAGUACGGCGUUGUGAGAGAGUAUUGGCUCCAUUUAAAAAGUAUUUCCCCUAAUUACAAAAGUAGCACUGGCCUAACAAUGUGAACUGCAGAAGUGUGGAAUGUGAAGUCUGUAUAACACGCCCCCCCCCCCAUCACCCUACCGCAUUCCUUCGAGUUUGUUUUCUUUUUAUCCUGUGUGUAUUUUGUUAUAUCGCCAUCUUCCCAGUGGGGAAACUCGACCUGGGAGAAAGCAACAGCUUGUCCUAUAGUGAGUGUGCUGUAGACCAGUGGUUCUCAGAUUUUAACGUGGUCACAGAUGCUGACCUGGUGGGUCUGGGCUUGAAUAUGAGGAUCUCCACAUCAGAUACACUCCAAGUUAAGGGUAUGGACCUGGGAUGAACCAUACCAGUCAAGGUUUCUAUUUGAUUAAAAGCCCUGGCCAUCCUUA